AACUUUUGACAACGGAUCACUUGGUUCCGGCAUCGAUGAAGAACGCAGCGAAAUGCGAUAACUAAUGUGAAUUGCAGAAUUCAGUGAAUCAUCGAGUCUUUGAACGCACAUUGCGCCCCCUGGUAUUCCGGGGGGCAUGCCUGUCCGAGCGUCAUUGCUGCCCUCAAGCACGGCUUGUGUGUUGGGCUCCGUCCCCCCGGGGACGGGCCCGAAAGGCAGCGGCGGCACCGAGUCCGGUCCUCGAGCGUAUGGGGCUUUGUCACCCGCUCUGUAGGCCCGGCCGGCGCCAGCCGACAACCCAUCAUCCUUUUCAGGUUGACCUCGGAUCAGGUAGGGAUACCCGCUGAACUUAAGCAUAUCAAUAAGCGGAGGCU
rnacentral:misc_RNA from 1 species